rnacentral:rRNA from 1 species
UACGUAGGGGGCUAGCGUUGUCCGGAAUUACUGGGCGUAAAGCGCGUGUAGGCGGUUGCCCAAGUCGGGUGUGAAAGCCUUGAGCUCAACUCAAGAAAUGCACUCGGUACUGGGUGACUAGAGGACCGGAGAGGAUAGUGGAAUUCCCAGUGUAGUGGUGAAAUACGUAGAGAUUGGGAAGAACACCAGUGGCGAAGGCGGCUAUCUGGACGGUUUCUGACGCUAAGACGCGAAAGCGUGGGGAGCAAACAGG